AUGUGUUCUCUUUCCUGGUCCAUGACGGGGCGUAACUUUAAGGGCAAGAAUUUCCCAGCACCAUGCCCCCCUCCCAUCUCUCUCCAUGGGGAGAUGCAACGGUUUAUGUUUGAAUUUCGCGGGCGCUGGAAGAAACUAAAAGUCAAUCACUCCAGCGGAAGUUCUAAGGAACUCCUUUCAUUGGCCCAGCGUGUUGGAGAAGGCGGGGGUUUCUCCCAGGAUAAACAUCCGUGCUCCCUCACCUGCGCCAGAUUUCCAACUUUCUGGAAUUCCCUCCCACAGGGAAUCCAAGUGACUGAAGGAAGCACUGGGACAGUGAGUCUCCGGACUGAGGACUCCAGUGUCAUGGCACACCAGGCUGUUCCCCUGAAGAGCUAAGUCCUUGUCACUCCCCGGCUAGCAAGCAUAUAAGAAAUGGAAGCAGGAAAUUCACAGAAGAAAAACUACACAUGGCUAAGGAAUAUGUCAGUAUAAUUUUUUAAAUCACACAGAAAAUAUAGGCAUAACUAGUUGUGCAUGAGUUGCCUUCUCUAGCUUUUUGUAGUCAUUGAUUAAUUCUUCCUUUCAGAUUUCACAAAUCUCAACCUACUUUAUUUUUAUAGAACAAGAUCACUUCUUGAUAGAGGCUUUUGCAAUCUGGUCAUAACCUACAGUAAUGAAUGCAUUCUAUCUCAUGACCCAGCACACAUACACAUAUACAUAAUUGAAAGGUUCAGAAAGCAAUAUUUUCAUCAUCAGGUGCAAUGUCUCCUGUUUCCUAUUUCAUUCUGUUCUCUUGUGUUUUUUUUAAAGGCUGGUUAUGAUACCUGCAAAACUGAUUCCAUGACCCCACCAAUAGUCUUGAGGCCAGUGAUUUGAGACCUUUGAGAGAACAAAGUUGUAAGACUGACACUGCCUAAUUUAAAGACUUUCUACAGCUGGGUGGGAGUCGCAUGCCUGUAAUCCCAGCACUUUAGGAGGCUGAGGCGGGUGGAUCUCCUGAGGUCAGGAGUUCAAGACCAGCCUGUCCAACAUGGUGAAACCCCGUCUCUACUAAAAGUACAAAAAUUAGGCAGGUGUGGUGGUGCAUGACUGUAAUCUCCGCCACUCGGGAGGCUGAGCCAGGAGAAUUGUUUGAACCAGGGAGAUGGAGGUGGCAGUGAGCUGAGAUAGCACCACUGUAUUCCAGCCUGGGCAACAGAGCGAGAUUCUGUCUCAAAUAAAUAAGUAAGUAAAUAAAUAAAACAUUACAAAGUUACACUAGUUAAGACAGUGCUGUUGGCAAAAGAACAGACAAAUAGAUAAAUGGAACAGAAUAGAGAGCCCAGAAAUAGACCCACACAAAUAGAGUGAAGUGGUCUUUGACAAAAAAAGUGAAGGCAAUACAAUGAAGAAAGGAUAGGAUCUUCAAAAAGCGGUUGUGGAAUAAAUGGACAUCCACAUCCAAAAAAAAAAAAAAUCUAGAUCUAGACCUUUACUCAAAAUGGAUCUUAGACUAAAAGGUAACAUGCAAAACUAUAAAACUACAGGAUGACACAAGAGAAAAUCCAGGUGACCUCUGGCUUGAUGAUAAACUUUUAGAUGAAACACCAGCUUCCUCCAUUAGAUAUGAUCCGUGGAGGAAAAUGACUGAUAAACUGGACUUCAUUAAAAUAAAGAACUUCUCUGGAAAAAAAAGAAAACAGAAUUGAGAUUCUUACCAGCUCCUAAAUGCAUCAGCUUUUCCAGGAAAACUCAAUUCCCCUGACACUCCUGUGUGUGGGCUCGGCCAGAGUGUGGGCAUCACAGUGGGGCUCCUCUCUCUUCACCUGUGGACUCAGCAGAGACCCCGGGGCCCACCUUGUUCUGGCACUCAGUCAUCUCAGCAGAAAACCCCAUCUGUUCCGCUCCCAGGAGCCACACUCGGGUGCUCUGCGAAUCUCUUGCACAGUUACGUCUGCACCUGCAGUCUUCCUCCUGCAACAGGCACACUGCUGCGACUGACUGCAGGCCACUGCAGUCCAUCAUGAGAGAUGGCUACUGCUGCUCCUGUGGACGAGCGGAGUUGCCUUCUUCCAGGAACAGCCUCAGCUGUAACUCAUGCUGUCUUCCCCUGCCCUGAGGCAUUACAAAGUCACACGAGAUCAGCCAUUCUCAACUGGGGCAAUUUUGCCUCCAGGAAACGUGCAAUGCCUGGCUACAUUCUUGGUUGUCACAAGUGGGGACUCCUGGCAUUUAAUGCGUAAAAGCUGGAUGCUGCUAAACAUCCCAUCAUGCAUAGGACAGCACCCACCACGGAGAAUUAUCCAGCCUUAAUGUAAUAGUGCUUGGAUGGCUAAUGUUAUGUGUUGACUUAGGGAUGCCCAGAUGGCCAGUAAAGCAGGAUUUCUGGGUGUGUCCAUGAAAAUGUCUCUGGAAGAGAUUGGCAUUGGAGUCUCUAGACAGUAAACAAGUUUGUCCUCACCAUUGUGGGCUGGCAGCAUCCAGUUUGUUGAGGGCCAAAAUAGAACGAAAAGGUGGAUGAAGGGCAAAUUCUUUCCCUUCUUGAGCUGGGACAGUUGUCUUCCACUCCUGGGCCCUCAAUCUCAGAAUGAAUUUCACCACCUGCCUUCCUAGAUCUCCAGCCUGCCGAUGGAAGACUGGGACUUCCCAGCCUCCGUAAUCGCAGCCAAUUCCCACAAGAAGCCUCGUCUUCUAUUCCUGUAUCCAUAUCCCAUUGUUUCCAGUUUUCUGGAUCCCUGACUGAUAAAGUGUCAUGGUUGGGAAGCCCUGCCCUGGAUUUCUUUCUUCGGUCCUCAAAGCCUUGCCACAGUUCCCAUAAACCCUCCUCCUGCAAGAAGAAAGGAAACGUGAAAAGAGUCACUCAGGGAAUGGAUGCCG
rnacentral:lncRNA from 1 species